rnacentral:lncRNA from 1 species
GUUUUCCUCCUGCCGGCGCUUACCGCCUCGGUUCCCGCGACCCCAACGUCCCAGAGGCGGGGCCGCAGUUAUCUGAGACGCUACUUGGAGCCUUCUGCGUGCCCAACAAACGGGCCCAACAACCAAAACCCUAGCUUGGCGGCGGCCGUGACAAUAGCGCGGGUGGAUCUUCGUGCUCCUGGUUCCCCGAGGCGCCCUCCGGGCCCGGGAAGCACAGUACUGAGGAUUACAGAGUGAAUAAAUCACUCACCAAAUAUAGAGCCUGUAGUUCCUCCAGCCUGCAGUUCCAGAUGAAUACCAGGUACAGAAAUUUUAUUUUUUUGAGUGUAUAUAUUUAGAUAUUUGAUUAUGUGUAUGAAUGUUUU